rnacentral:rRNA from 2 species
GGAUGAACGCUGGCGGCGUGCCUAAUACAUGCAAGUCGAGCGAACUGAUUAGAAGCUUGCUUCUAUGACGUUAGCGGCGGACGGGUGAGUAACACGUGGGCAACCUGCCUGUAAGACUGGGAUAACUUCGGGAAACCGAAGCUAAUACCGGAUAGGAUCUUCUCCUUCAUGGGAGAUGAUUGAAAGAUGGUUUCGGCUAUCACUUACAGAUGGGCCCGCGGUGCAUUAGCUAGUUGGUGAGGUAACGGCUCACCAAGGCAACGAUGCAUAGCCGACCUGAGAGGGUGAUCGGCCACACUGGGACUGAGACACGGCCCAGACUCCUACGGGAGGCAGCAGUAGGGAAUCUUCCGCAAUGGACGAAAGUCUGACGGAGCAACGCCGCGUGAGUGAUGAAGGCUUUCGGGUCGUAAAACUCUGUUGUUAGGGAAGAACAAGUACGAGAGUAACUGCUCGUACCUUGACGGUACCUAACCAGAAAGCCACGGCUAACUAC